rnacentral:tRNA from 1 species
GGCCUUGUAUUCAAUUAUGAUUUUAAAUUGCAAAUUUAAAGGUGUUAACUCUAAGGCUU